AAAGGAAUAGACGGGGGCCCGCACAAGCAGCGGAGCAUGUGGUUUAAUUCGAAGCAACGCGAAGAACCUUACCUAGACUUGACAUCUCCUGAAUUACCGGUAAUGCGGGAAGCCCUUCGGGGCAGGAAGACAGGUGGUGCAUGGUUGUCGUCAGCUCGUGUCGUGAGAUGUUGGGUUAAGUCCCGCAACGAGCGCAACCCCUAUUGUUAGUUGCUACCAUUAAGUUGAGCACUCUAGCGAGACUGCCGAGGUCAACUCGGAGGAAGGUGGGGAUGACGUCAAAUCAUCAUGCCCCUUAUGUCUAGGGCUACACACGUGCUACAAUGGCGAGUACAACAAGAUGCAAGACCGCGAGGUGGAGCAAAACUGUAAAACUCGUCCCAGUUCGGAUUGUAGGCUGAAACUCGCCUACAUGAAGCCGGAGUUGCUAGUAAUCGCGAAUCAGAAUGUCGCGGUGAAUACGUUCCCGGGCCUUGUACACACCGCCCGU
rnacentral:rRNA from 1 species